CCUACGGGAGGCAGCAGUAGGGAAUCUUCCACAAUGGCCGAAAGUCUGAUGGAGCAACGCCGCGUGAGUGAAGAAGGGUUUCGGCUCGUAAAGCUCUGUUGGUAGUGAAGAAAAAUAGAGGUAGUGACUGGCCUUUAUUUGACGGUAAUUACUUAGAAAGUCACGGCUAACUACGUGCCAGCCGCCGAGGGAAUACGUAGGUGGCAAGCGUUGUCCGGUUUUGUUGGGCGUAAAGCGAGUGCAGGCGGUUCAAUAAGUCUGAUGUGAAAGCCUUCGGCCCAACCGGCGAAUUGCAUCAGAAACUGUUGAACUUGAGUGCAGAAGAGGAGAGUGGAACUCCAUGUGUAGCGGUGGAAUGCGUAGAUAUAUGGAAGAACACCAGUGGCGAAGGCGGCUCUCUGGCCUGCAACUGACGCUGAGGCUCGAAAGCAUGGGUAGCGAACAGGAUUAGAUACCCGAGUAGUC
rnacentral:rRNA from 1 species